rnacentral:rRNA from 1 species
AUAAAGUGGCGAACGGCUGAGUAACACGUGGGCAACCUGCCCUUUGCACUGGGAUAGCCUCGGGAAACCGAGGUUAAUACCGGAUACUCCAUAUUUGUCGCAUGGCGAAUAUGGGAAAGUUCCGGCGGCAAAGGAUGGGCCCGCGGCCUGUUAGCUAGUUGGUGGGGUAGUGGCCUACCAAGGCAAUGAUGGGUAGCCGGGUUGAGAGACCGACCGGCCAGAUUGGGACUGAGACACGGCCCAGACUCCUACGGGAGGCAGCAGCU